rnacentral:rRNA from 1 species
GAUGAACGCUGGCGGCGUGCUUAACACAUGCAAGUCGAACGGGAAAUAUUUCAUUGAGACUUCGGUGGAUUUGAUUUAUUUCUAGUGGCGGACGGGUGAGUAACGCGUGGGUAACCUGCCUUAUACAGGGGGAUAACAGUCAGAAAUGGCUGCUAAUACCGCAUAAGCGCACAGAGCUGCAUGGCUCAGUGUGAAAAACUCCGGUGGUAUAAGAUGGACCCGCGUUGGAUUAGCUAGUUGGUGGGGUAACGGCCCACCAAGGCGACGAUCCAUAGCCGGCCUGGGAGGGUGAACGGCCACAUUGGGACUGAGGCACGGCCCAGACUCCUACGGGAGGCAGCAGUGGGGAAUAUUGCACAAUGGGGGAAACCCUGAUGCAGCGACGCCGCGUGAAGGAAGAAGUAUCUCGGUAUGUAAACUUCUAUCAGCAGGGAAGAUAGUGACGGUACCUGACUAAGAAGCCCCGGCUAACUACGUG